ACAGCAUCAGUGAAUGUUAUUGAAGGACAAAGGACAGACAAACAAAUCAGGAAAAUGGGUUCUCUCUAAACACAUUGCAAAGCCACAGAGGCUAGUGCAGGAUGGGUGGGCAUCAGGUCAUCAGAUGUGGGUCCAAUGCCAGAAUAUUCUGUGCUCCCAAAGGCCACUUGGUCAGAGUGUGUGCUUGCAGAGGUGGCUCUAAAAGCUCAGCAGUGGAGGCAGUGGUUCGCCAUACUCAGGGUGAACUCACAUCCUCUGUGUCUGAAGUAUACAGCAGAGGCUUGAAGGGCAUCUGGGAGAAGAAAACAGGCAAAAUGAUUAAGAAAAGUGAAAAAGGAAAAGUGGUAAGAUGGGAAUUUUCUUGUCCAGAUUUUAGUCUCCCAAACCACAGCUCAGAUGGUAGAAUGUGGUCAGAACUGAUGGACAGAACAAUAGAACAAAACGGAAGCCCUAUCUCUCAGAAACGUGUGUUAAUGUGGUAUGUGGCACAGCUGAUGGAAAAGAGAGUGUGUGUGUAAUUUUUUUUUCUGAGAAAACUGACUGGAAGCAAAUAAGUUGUGUCUUUACAGCAUAUACCAGAGCAGAUUCUAGGUAGAAGAGGAGACACAUGCAAACAACACCAGCAACAGAAAUAAAACAAAAGACUCAAAGGGAAGGGAGGUGAACGUUCCCUGGUUUGGUGUUGGGGAAGGACACACAGGGAGGCGGAUGAAACCAGUGAGGCAACGGGCAUUGCUUUCACUGCAGAGAAACUCAGCUUGCCUGAGCCACAGUGAAAAUGGCCAUUCCCUGGAGCGUUUGUGCACGUGAUUUAUUUAAGGCGCCCUGUGAGGUCCUGCACAUUCAUCCUCUCACUUUGUUCUCCUAACCACCUGAGAGGUAGAGGAGGAAAGGCUCCAGGGGAGCAGCCGCCCUUGGUCACCCAGCUGGCAAAGGGCAUGCAUGAUUGCAGCCUGGCCUCCUGCUCCGGGGCCCUUGCUC
rnacentral:lncRNA from 1 species